rnacentral:rRNA from 1 species
GAUGAACGCUGGCGGCGUGCCUAAUACAUGCAAGUCGAGCGAACAGACGAGGAGCUUGCUCCUCUGACGUUAGCGGCGGACGGGUGAGUAACACGUGGAUAACCUACCUAUAAGACUGGGAUAACUUCGGGAAACCGGAGCUAAUACCGGAUAAUAUAUUGAACCGCAUGGUUCAAUAGUGAAAGACGGUUUUGCUGUCACUUAUAGAUGGAUCCGCGCCGCAUUAGCUAGUUGGUAAGGUAACGGCUUACCAAGGCAACGAUGCGUAGCCGACCUGAGUGGGUGAUCGGCCACACUGGAACUGAGACACGGUCCAGACUCCUACGGGAGGCAGCAGUAGGGAAUCUUCCGCAAUAGGCGAAAGCCUGACGGAGCAACGCCGCGUGAGUGAUGAAGGUCUUCGGACCGUAAAACUCUGUUAUUAGGGAAGAACAAAUGUGUAAGUAACUAUGCACGUCUUGACGGUACCUAAUCAGAAAGCCACGGCUAACUACGUG